CACGUAGGGGGCGAGCGUUGUCCGGAUUUAUUGGGCGUAAAGAGCUCGUAGGCGGCUCGGUAAGUCGGGUGUGAAACCUCCAGGCUCAACCUGGAGACGCCACCUGAUACUGCUGUGGCUAGAGUCCGGUAGGGGAGUGUGGAACUCCUGGUGUAGCGGUGAAAUGCGCAGAUAUCAGGAAGACACCAGCGGCGAAGGCGGACACUCUGGGCCGGAACUGACGCUGAGGCGCGAAAGCGUGGUAGCAAACGGG
rnacentral:rRNA from 1 species